CCCCUGCUUCUGUCAGAGCAUUUAAUUGUAUCAAUCAGAAUGGAUAGAACACAUCACCACGAUUCCUCCAAAGAUGGAUUCAAGUCCCCUCAAACCAGGAGCCAACAUUAAGUCCUUCAUUGACUUCGUCAGUUUUUCUGCUGCAAUGAUAAGAAGAAUAGCUAACACCAUGGGAAGGCGAUUCUCCGAAGCUCACGGAAUCUGGGGAUUCACUCAUCGUCGUAUAAACACACCAUGUGGGUUAAAACGAGGACAAAUCCAGAUACUCACCAUUAGGGAAUGUCAAUGCAUUUCAACUGCUUGGCCCCACAAGGUCAAAACACAGCCACAGUGUCUUCUCACAAUCCUCCAGGCUCUUCCCAGAUUACAGAGAGUGAUCUGGUCCUAUUCAAGAGGACAGAGUAUCCACCAGGCUCUGUCAAAGCUGCUCAGCAAAGACCAGAUAACCUCAGUUUGCUGUGAAGGAUAGCAGGGGUUGCUCCCGGGGUACCUGGUCCUCCUGUGUGAAAUGGGUAUGUGCUCUUUAUCCUCACAGCCAGGAAACUGGACUAACAACAGUGCAUAAAACUAUUUGUUUUGUUCUGUCUUUAGAAAUCAUUUUAGGGUUUUACAGACUGGGGAGCAAACAAUCAAUGCUGAAUAUUGAAUAAUCCCCUUGUCAUCACGAGUAACAGUCAUCCAAGGUUUUUAAAGCCCUUUCAUUUUGAAACACUCAGACGUCUCCUAGCUCGACCCUCCUCUGCCUUUACCUCUCUGCAGGAGACAGGCAAGCCUCUCUGCCAUGCUGAUUUGACCAGCAGCAAUGUGAUGUGAGCAUUGAGCAGUGUCACAAUGCGCCCAUCCGAGGGCUGUGGGAAUGUGGGCCAUUUGAGAGCUGGCAGCAGCAUAGUCUUGGUCAUGAAACCUUCCCAAGUAAAACAUUAAUUAACAUGAAGUGGGGUGUGACACCUCCCAUCUCAAGAUGGACUUC
rnacentral:lncRNA from 1 species